UACGUAGGGGGCAAGCGUUGUCCGGAAUCAUUGGGCGUAAAGAGCGUGUAGGCGGCCCGAUAAGUCCGCUGUGAAAGUCCAGGGCUCAACCCUGGGAUGCCGGUGGAUACUGUCGGGCUCGAGUCCGGAAGAGGAGUGUGGAAUUCCUGGUGUAGCGGUGAAAUGCGCAGAUAUCAGGAGGAACACCGGUGGCGAAGGCGGUUCUCUGGGCCUUACCUGACGCUGAGGCACGAAGGUCAGGGGAGCAAACGGG
rnacentral:rRNA from 1 species